AGUGGCUUGUUUUCCUCCUUGCUCCCCAUGUACCACCUCCAAUCAUUUACUUUUUUUCAAAUCCUACACCUCUGAAUCACAUGCCUUUUUGUUUCAUCAUAUUCCUCCGCUCUUCACUGACAUCCACCAAGUGCCCAGUCACUCAAUUAAUCUGGAACCCUGACUCCAGGAAGAGCCGACUUUCUCCAUAUUAAAUCUGCCGUCGUUCUGGGAAACUUUAGUGUUCAUUAGUGUCUGACACCGUGCUCCCCUCCCCCUUUUCUAGACAUCCUCUCAUCUCUAGUCCACUUCAACUAACCACUCCCAAGAUGACAUCCUAAUGCUUGUCGUCAUGGGCCUUUAUCCUUCCGGCUUGCUUAAUACUCCCAACAUCACCAUUUUUUUUUUUUUUUUAACUUCUUAAGUACCACUGUCCCCUUACCUUCUAACAAUCCCUCAACUCUUUUUUUUUUUUUUUUUCCCAUUUUUCUCCUUAUCCAGCUAGGUCAUGCUGUCUUUCAAACACACUCUUGCCAAUAUCCUAAACUCUCCUUGUCUUUUCAUUUCACCUUAUAUGGCAAAACACCAGCCCUGGAUAAACCUAACCUCAUGUGCCUUCUUCUGCAGAGCCCAGUGCUAUUAGAGAUCCAUAAAUGGACUGAUUAAUAGGCCCCAAAAUUCCUAUUAAUUAACCACAAAGGGACCUGGAACACAAACCUGAAAUCUUAUGUUUGGUUAAUUUGAUCUUCUGACUUUUCAACAGUUAUUAAAGAUGUUCUCCAUUCUCCUUAAAUCUCAAACCUUUAUAUUCCAAUAUCUCUACUUCAAGUGACCUGUUGACAGCACUUCCCAGAGAACAUAAAAGGCAUCAUACGGGAAUUCCUUCAACUUGCCAUUGCUAAAUAAGCCAAGCCACCCACACCUGCACUCAUGCUUUCUUCCUGCCUUUCUAACUUAUCAAAGGGUCUGUUUCUCCUCCCACCCAAAACCAAUCCUUUCCACCUUUGUUAAACCCCAUCCCCUCAUGUCUACACUACCAUUCCUUUUUUCUUUUUCAUAUCCAAGCAGCUCCUAGAUUAAAUAAAACUUACUGCCUUUCUUUUUUUUUAUUAUUAUUAUUAUUUUUUUUUUUUUAGGGCCACACCUGUGGCACAUGGAAGUUCCCAGGCCAGGGGGUCGAAUUGGAGCUACAGCUGCCGGCCUACACCACAGGCAUGGCAACACCAGACCUGAGCCACAUCUGCAACUUACACCAUAGCUCCUAGCAAUGCUGGAUCCCUGAAGCAAGGCUAGGGAUUGAACCCACAUCCUCAUGGAUACUAGUCAGGUGCAUCUCCAUGAGCCACAAUGGGAACUCUUUAAUUGCCUUUAUAGUCAAAAUUCUCAAAAGAGUUGCAUAUAGUCACUAUUCUAUUUAUUCAUCUACUCUCCACCUCUUAACUUACUCCAGUGUAGUUUCAGAACUCCACAACAGCAGUACUCAAGUGAACACAUCCUUCAGGCCAGUAAAUUCAGGGGACACUUUUGGUCCUCAUUUUUCUGGACUUCUCAGUGCUAUUUGUUAUUUUAGACCAUGUCUUUCUUUUUUUAUUGAGAUAUAUUUCACAAUAUUAUAUUAGUUUCAGGUGUCCAACAUAAUACAUACUGCAAAAUUAUCAUCACAAUAAGUCUAGUUAACAUCCAUCACCACACACAGCUCAAACUUUUUUUUUUAUAUGUGAACUUGAAGACUUUACUCUCUAAGCAACUUUCAAAUAUGCAAUACAGUAUUAACAACAGUUAUUAUGCUGUACAUGACAGGUUUUCCUUGACUUAUGAUGGUAUUAUGUCCUGAUAAAUCCACGGUAAGUUGAAAAUAUCAUAAGUCAAAAAAUGCACUUAACACACCUAAUCUACCAAACCUCAUAGCUUACCCUAGCCUGCCUUGAAUAUGCCCAAAAUAUUUACAUCAGACUACAGAUGGGCAAAAUCAUCUACAUAAAGCCUAUUUUUUAACCAAGUGUUCAUAUAUUAUGUAAUUUAUUGAAUACUGUACUGAAAGUGAAAAGCAGAAGGUUUGUGUGGCUACAGAAUGGUUGUGUGUCAGUUGUUUACCCUGACGACUGUGUGGCUGACUGGGAGUUGGAGAUCACCACUGCUGCCAGCAUUACUAGAGAAUAUCAUAUCCCCUUUCUAUCAUAUACCACUAGCCCAGGAAAAGUUCAAAACUCAAAGUAUAGUUUCUGUUGGAUGUGUAUCAAUCUUCUACCAUCAAAAAGUCAAAAAAUCCUAAGGUGAAUCAUCCUUAAGUUGGGGCCUGUCUAUAUAUCCCCAUGCCUUGAUUAUUUUAUGUCUGGAAGUUUCCAACUUUUGAAUACCUUCACCCAUUUUGCCCAACCCUACCCUCUGCUUCUAACAACCACCAAUCUCUUCUCUUGGCUAUUUUCCAUAAGUGAAAGCAUACAGUAUUUAUUUUUCUGUCUGAUUUCUCUCAGUCUAAUGCUCUAAAGUCCAUCCAUGUUGUCGCAAAUGACAAGAUUACUUUUUAUGGCUCAGUAAUAUUCCAACAUAUGUUUCACAUUUUCUUUAUUCAUCCACCAAAGGACACUUGGGUUGUUCCCAUGGAAAAUCAUGCUUUAGAGGAUACAGAACUGCAUGUAUCAUUUCAAAUUAAAAUUUUCAUUUCCUUCAAAUAUAUAUCAAGAAGCGAUAUAUAUUUUGAUCAUACGGUAUUCUUAGUUUUUUUGAGGAACCUCAAUACUAUCCUCCAUAGUGGCUACACUAAUUUACAUUCCCACGAAGAGUAUACAAGGGUUCCCUUUUCUCCACAUCCUUGUUAUUUCUGUCUUUUUGGUAACCGCCAUUCUGACAGAUGUGAGGUGAUAUUUCAUUGUGGUUUUGAUUUUCAUUUCUCUGAUAACUGGAGAUAUUCCCAUACCUAUUGGCCAUUUGAAUAUCUUCUUUGAAAAAAAUGUCUAUUCAGAUCCUCUACCCAUGUUUUAAUCAGGUUGCUUAUUUCUUUUUUGUGGUUUGGUUGGUUGGGGUUUUUGCUAUUGAGUUGUAUGAAUUCUUUACAUAUUUUGGACAUUAACCUCUUAUUAUAUAUAUAUGACUUGCAAAUACUUACUACCAUUCAGUAGAGUGUCCUUUCUUGAUAGUUUCCUUUGCUGUGCAUAAACUUAGUUUUAUGUAGUCUCACUUAUUUACUCUUAUUUUUGUUGCCUUUGUUCUUGGUGUUGAAUUUUAAAAAAUCAUCACCAAGACAAAUGUCAAGGAACUUUCCACUUGUUUCUUUCUAGGAGUUUUAUUUUGUUAGAUGUUAUGUUUGAGUGUUUCAACAAUUUUUUAUACCAAAAUUCUCCUUUAUUUUUCCCCAUUAUUUUUUUUCCUGCUGUACAGCAUGGUGACCCAGUUACACAUACAUGUAUACAUUUUUUCUCACACUAUCAUGCUCCAUCAUAAGUGACUAGACAUAGUUCCCAGUGCUACACAGCAAGAUAUCAUUGCUAAUCCAUUCCAAAGGCAACAGUUUGCAUCUAUUAACCCCAAACUCCUACUCCAUUCCACUCCGUCCCUCUCCCCCCUCUCCUCCUUGGCAACCACAAGUCCAUUCUCCAAGUCCAUGAUUUUCUUCUCUGUGGAAAGUUUCAACUGUGCCAUAUACUAGAUUCCAGAUAUAAGUGAUUAUCACAUGGUAUUUGUCUUUAUUUUCUGUUAGUUUCUGUGUAUUGUGUAAGACAGGAGUCGAGUUUCAUUCUUUCCUAUGGGGCUGUCCAGUCUUCCCAAUGCCAUUCAUUAAAGAGACUGUCCUUCCCCCACUGUAUUUUCUUGGCUCCUUUGUCAUAAAUUGGCUUAUUUCUGGAUUCUAUCUUCUGAUCCAUUGAUCUAUUUGUGUGUUAAUAUAGAUACUGUUUUGAUUAGCACAGCUUGGUACUAUAGUUUGAAAUCAGAAAGUGUGGUGCUUCCAACUUUAAUACCCAUGAGAUCAACUGUUUGAUUUUCGUCUAAAAAUACUACACAUUUAGAGAAACUACUAAACUGAAAAGACAAUUUUUAGUAAAUCUGUGGCAAAGGAAUGAGCAUUUCUACUGGUAAGUUUUCAUGACAGACACAUUCUCAAGAUAGCUUUGGCUAUUCAGGUCUACUGUGGCUCCAUUAUAAAAGGACUGAUUUUUUUUCUACUUCUUUGGCAUACAACUGUCAAGAGCAGUCUCAAUCCUUUGUAUUCCUGUGGAAUAAAUUAUAAUGUCUGCUCUUUCAUUUCUAACUUUGAGUCUUCUCUUUUUUUUCUUGGUCAGUCUAGAUGAAGGUUUACAAGUUUUGCCUAUCUUUUCAAAGAACCAGUUCUUAGUUAGGUUGAUCUUUUCUAUUUUAUUUUUCAUCUUGAUUUCACUUAUUUCUUCUCUAAUCUUUGUUUUUUCCUUCCUUCUAAUAAUUUUGGACUUCAUUCGUUCUUUCUCUAGUGCUCCCAUGUUGUGUGCAUACAUAUUACAAAUGUUAUGUCCUCUGGUUAGAUUGAUCCUUAAUCAUUACAUAAUGCCCUUCUUUGUCUCUAAUUAUUCUUUUUGUCUAUUUUAAAGUCUAUUUUGCUUUAAAGUUUAUUUAAAGUUGGAAUUAGUAUAGCUACAUCCACAUUCUUUUGGUUUUCAUUUGCAUAUAUCUUUUCCCACCUCUACAUUUCAGUUUGUGCCUAUAAGUCAGUCACCUGUAGGCAGCAUAUAGGUGAGUCUUGGUUUGUUUUGGUUUUUAUAUCCAUUCAGUAACUCUAUGUUUUUUGAUUGGAGAACUUAGCACAUUUAUUUUAAAGUAAUUAUUAAUGGGUAUGGACUGUCAUUUUGAUCACUGUUUUUUUUGCUGUUUUGUAAUUCCUUUGUACCUCUCUCUCCUUGCUCUCUUCCUUUGCAACUUGAUUUCCUGUAGUGGUAUGCUCAGAUUCCUUUAUCAUUUGUGUAUCUACUCUAGGUUUUUGCUUUGUGCUAUCACAAAGCAUAAGGCUUACAUAAAACAGCUUAUAUCCAUAACAAUCUAUGUUAACAUCAAUUAAAGAUCAAACACAUUCUAA
rnacentral:lncRNA from 1 species